GACGAACCACACAAACGUUAUUCGGAAUUACUGGGCUUAAAGGGCGCGUAGGCGGCGCGGUAAGUCGGGUGUGAAAUCUCGGAGCUUAACUCCGAAACUGCAUUCGAUACUGCCGUGCUUGAGGACUGGAGAGGAGACUGGAAUUUACGGUGUAGCGGUGAAAUGCGUAGAUAUCGUAAGGAAGACCAGUGGCGAAGGCGGGUCUCUGGACAGUUCCUGACGCUGGGGCACGAAGGUCAGGGGAGCAAACGGG
rnacentral:rRNA from 1 species